CCUACGGGUGGCAGCAGUGAGGAAUAUUGGUCAAUGGACGAGAGUCUGAACCAGCCAAGUAGCGUGAAGGAUGACUGCCCUAUGGGUUGUAAACUUCUUUUAUAUGGGAAUAAAACGUUCCACGUGUGUGGUUUUGUAUGUACCCUAUGAAUAAGUAUCGGCUAACUCCGUGCCAGCAGCCGCGGUAAUACGGAGGAUCCGAGCGUUAUCCGGAUUUAUUGGGUUUAAAGGGAGCGUAGGUGGAUUGGUAAGUCAGUUGUGAAAGUUUGCGGCUCAACCGUAAAAUUGCAGUUGAAACUGGUAGUCGUGAGUACAGGAGAGGUGGGCGGAAUUCGUGGUGUAGCGGUGAAAUGCUUAGAUAUAACGAAGAACUCCGAUUGCGAAGGCAGUUCACUGGACUGCAACUGACACUGAGGCUCGAAAGUGUGGGUAUCAAACAGGAUUAGAUACCCCGGUAGUC
rnacentral:rRNA from 1 species